AUGAAGACAAUUCUUGGACCUCUGUACCUGUUCUUAUGGCUGCAGUUGGACGUGAUGAGCAGAGGAGAAGAGGUGAAGCAGCAUCCAUCUUUCCUGAGUGUCCAGGAAGGAGAGAACUUUGUUAUUAACUGCACUUACACAGACAGUGCCUCCAACUACUUCUUAUGGUAUAAACAAGAGCCUGGAAAAGGUCUACAGGUGCUUAUACAUAUGUAUUCGAAUGAGGACAAGAAACAACAUGAAAGACUCACUGCCCUCAUGAACAAGAAGAAACAAUUCUUCUCCCUGAACAUCACAGCUGCUCAUCUUGGGGACUCAGCCACCUACUUCUGUGCAGCAAGAGCACAUUGUUUCCCAGGCACCUGCAGCCUGUACCCAAACCUGAGACUGAGGCUGAAGUCCCACUCUUUUCUGUUGUGA